rnacentral:rRNA from 1 species
GAUGAACGCUGGCGGCGUGCCUAAUACAUGCAAGUCGAGCGAACGGACGAGAAGCUUGCUUCUCUGAUGUUAGCGGCGGACGGGUGAGUAACACGUGGAUAACCUACCUAUAAGACUGGGAUAACUUCGGGAAACCGGAGCUAAUACCGGAUAAUAUUUUGAACCGCAUGGUUCAAAAGUGAAAGACGGUCUUGCUGUCACUUAUAGAUGGAACCGCGCUGCAUUAGCUAGUUGGUAAGGUAACGGCUUACCAAGGCAACGAUGCAUAGCCGACCUGAGAGGUUGAUCGGCCACACUGGAACUGAGACACGGUCCAGACUCCUACGGGAGGCAGCAGUAGGGAAUCUUCCGCAAUGGGCGAAAGCCUGACGGAGCAACGCCGCGUGAGUGAUGAAGGUCUUCGGAUCGUAAAGCUCUGUUAUUAGGGAAGAACAUAUGUGUAAGUAACUGUGCACAUCUUGACGGUACCUAAUCAGAAAGCCACGGCUAACUACGUG